AUUGAACGCUGGCGGCAUGCCUAACACAUGCAAGUCGAACGAGUGGCGGACGGGUGAGUCAUGUCUGGGAAACUGCCUGAUGGAGGGGGAUAACUACUGGAAACGGUCGCUAAUCCCGCAUACCAUCGGAUUUGCCCAGAUGGGAUUAGCUAGUCGGGUGGGUAAAGUCGCACCGAGGCGCCGAUCCCUAGCUGGCCUGAGAGGAUGACCAGGCACACUGGAACUGAGACACGGUCCAGACUCUUACGGGAGGCAGCAGUGGGGAAGAUGGCACAAUGGGCGCAAGCCUGAUGCAGCCAGGCCGCGUGUAUGAAGAAGGCCUUCGGGUUGUAAAGUACUUUCAGCGGGGAGGCGUUACCCGCAGAAGAAGCACCGGCUAACUCCGUGCCAGCAGCCGCGGUAAUAC
rnacentral:rRNA from 1 species